rnacentral:rRNA from 1 species
UACGAAGGGGGCUAGCGUUGCUCGGAAUCACUGGGCGUAAAGGGUGCGUAGGCGGUUCUUUAAGUCCGGGGUGAAAUCCUGGAGCUCAACUCCAGAACUGCCUUUGAUACUGAAGAUCUUGAGUUCGGGAGAGGUGAGUGGAACUGCGAGUGUAGAGGUGAAAUUCGUAGAUAUUCGCAAGAACACCAGUGGCGAAGGCGGCUCACUGGCACGGUACUGACGCUGAGGUGCGAAAGCGUGGGGAGCAAACAGG